CGCGGCGAAUUGUGUUUUUUGACUGGCCUCUAAAAAAAGCUCGUUUUCGUGACGGAAACGAGAGACGACGCGGAAUGCCCGGAUGCUGCUCAAUCCUUGCAGCGUCUCGUUGAAAUUGAUAAACCGGUGCGAGAGGUGCCAGUAACAAAAAUAUCCAGGGAAGACUGUAAGCAGUAACGACGAUUGAUCCUAUCAAGGCGAAAGACUGUGCCAGCAAGAUAUUCGCGAUGAAAGGUAGAGAAUCGUCGAUGGUGUAUGAUAUUCGUAAGUAAAAACCAACUUUGUGAACGUCGAUGUUGAGAUUUUUCAACGUGAACACACGUUCCCCCUCAAAUGUGACGACUUUCUUGCUGCUCGACGUCGAAGGAGCCGGAGAUUCGGGAACUUUAGUCACAGUUUGAUCAUCGUGAUUGUCACUUACGAAGAAGGAGGCGUUUUUCAGCAUAAUAUCAACACCUGGAGGCGGAUUCGCAUAAUAUGUCGAUAUAUCCAAAUCUGGUAACUGUAAAUUGUUAAUUCGUCAGUUUCACCUCUCGUAUAUACUGCUGCCAAAAAUGUGCAUUUCUUAUUUUUAAAAAUGUAUCCAAUUAGACUUUAGUUGGUCAGAAGUUUGACAACAAAUUUAAAAUAUCCAGCGGGACAACCGAUGACUUUGCCGACAACAACCAAGUGCUUUAUUAAAAUUUAUUCAAAAUCA